rnacentral:rRNA from 1 species
GAUGAACGCUCGCGAUAGGCUUAACACAUGCAAGUCGAGGGGCAGCACAAGGUAGCUUGCUAUCUGGGUGGCGACCGGCGCACGGGUGCGUAACGCGUAUGCAACUUGCCCUAUACAGGAGGAUAACCCGUCGAAAGACGGACUAAUACUGCGUAUGCUCACAACUUGGCAUCAAGUGGUGAGGAAAGAAAUUCGGUAUAGGAUAGGCAUGCGUCCCAUUAGCUUGUUGGUGAGGUAACGGCUCACCAAGGCAACGAUGGGUAGGGGAACUGAGAGGUUUAUCCCCCACACUGGUACUGAGACACGGACCAGACUCCUACGGGAGGCAGCAGUGAGGAAUAUUGGUCAAUGGGCGCGAGCCUGAACCAGCCAAGUCGCGUGAAGGAUGACUGUCUUAUGGAUUGUAAACUUCUUUUAUACGGGAAUAACAAGAGUCACGUGUGACUCCCUGCAUGUACCGUAUGAAUAAGCAUCGGCUAACUCCGUG